UAGCAGCUGCCAAAGUGACAGUUGGAGUCCCUCAGGUUCCACGCCCUCAGGGCAGAGGUGAAGGAGGUGGAGGAACCCAGGCCCACGGAGGGAAGGCUGCAGCCCGAAGUCACCGCCCAAAGCUGAAGUGGGGCCGGGGACCCGGCCUCUCAGAGCACCAACCCUGCCCCAGGGAGCGAGUUACCGCAGUCCAGGCGUGGGCCGAGCACCGGGAACACGUCCAGCCUUCGUUGACCAGCUCGGGACGGAUGCCAUAGCAACCUGGAAGACAGCGGGGCCAGCUGAGACCUGGGGAGAAAGGCCCAGGUCGCAGAGUCAACUCGCUUAUGGACGUGGCCCUGGGUCUGGAAGUGGGGAGAGGGCAUGGAGGGCCAAGUCAUGCUCCCAGAGCAACGGCAGGGGCUCCACCUGCCCCCGGGCUCUGCCUCUGCUUCCAGAGCGACGGCAGGGGCUCCACCUGCCCCAGGGCUCUGCCUCUGCUCCCAGAGCGACGGCAGGGGCUCCACCUGCCCCCGGGCUCUGCCUCUGCUCCCAGAGCGACGGCAGGGGCUCCACCUGUCCCAGGGCUCUGCCCCUGCAGCGUGGAAAAUGCUCUCUGCCAGGGCUGAUGGCCCAGAUCUCACGGCCUCCAGAACAGCCCGGCAAAGCAGAGUGAACACCCUCCCAGCCAGGAGACACAGCCACUGCCAGGAGGAAACCGACAGAGAUGGAUGGCUGCCGCCCGGCCAGGGCACAGAAAAUUAAACUUCUCCAGAAAGCCCUCCUCCUAUGCUGGAAGUUCAUUUCCUGCCACCCUCUAGCGCCUGGGAAAGAGACAUCCAUUUCCUUGUGUGCUGGUUGAGCCUCAGGACUGGGGAGGGGUCCCUGAGAACAGAGAUAAAUCAGACACCUGGACCACGCGGCAAUCUCACUGUGACCAUCAGUUUCAACCCCGGCCCCAAAUCACAGGCGUAGUGGGCGCCUGAGCUUUUCCUGCUGCUGCCCAGGCCUUGGGAAGGACGCAGCAGAACUGUCCAGAGGGACAAAGGGGAGGGACCGUGCCCGGGUCAGGGUCAAGGGCAGGGAUGUCUGCCCACAAAGGCUGCUUGGCAGAGAGAGCGCCUGGCAGGGAGCCCUGCCUGGGGGAGGCAGGGCGCGGGCCUCUGGUCCUCCUGGGGCGUGCCUGGCCCACUUCUCACUCUGGCCUUAGGGUGAGCUCCCCGGUGUCAGGGACAGGGUGGGAUGAGCCCAGGGCCCUCAGAACAAAGGCUUCCUCCCCCCAGAGGCUGGCACGUGGGCCUGCACUGGUGUCUUCCAGACCCUGGGGGAGAGGAGGCCUGUCCUGCCUAGGGGUGGUGGCGGUCACCUGGCCCUUCCGUGGCCACAGCCUUUCCCCUUCUCUAGAUGGUGGGACUGCAGGCCAGCAGCCCCAUGACAGGAAAGACGAGAAAGUCCGAAACUGCAGGAAGUUACCGGGGGAGGCCACUGCCCCAUCCCCAAAACAGCAGCCAGGGAGAGGGGCCGGCCUGGCUUCUGCAGGGGAGGACGGCACUCCCCACAGCACCCCACUGCAGACGCGGCUCCUUGGGUCCCUGGCACUCACUGGCG